rnacentral:rRNA from 1 species
GAGGAAAGUGGGGGACCUGCAAGGGCCUCACGCUAUGGGAGCGGCCGAUGUCCGAUUAGCUUGUUGGUGGGGUAAUGGCCUACCAAGGCUAUGAUCGGUAGCUGGUCUGAGAGGAUGAUCAGCCACACUGGGACUGAGACACGGCCCAGACUCCUACGGGAGGCAGCAGUGGGGAAUUUUGGACAAUGGGCGCAAGCCUGAUCCAGCCAUGCCGCGUGCGGGAAGAAGGCCUUCGGGUUGUAAACCGCUUUUGUCAGGGAAGAAAUCUUCUGAGCUAAUACCUCGGGAGGAUGACGGUACCUGAAGAAUAAGCACCGGCUAACUACGUGCCAGCAGCCGCGGUAAUACGUAGGGUGCGAGCGUUAAUCGGAAUUACUGGGCGUAAAGCGUGCGCAGGCGGUCUUGCAAGACAGGUGUGAAAUCCCCGGGCUUAACCUGGGAACUGCACUUGUGACUGCAAGGCUGGAGUACGGCAGAGGGGGAUGGAAUUCCGCGUGUAGCAGUGAAAUGCGUAGAUAUGCGGAGGAACACCGAUGGCGAAGGCAAUCCCCUGGGCCUGUACUGACGCUCAUGCACGAAAGCGUGGG